AGUCGUAACAAGGUUUCCGUAGGUGAACCUGCGGAAGGAUCAUUAAUGAAUUUUWGAAAUGGGGUUGUAGCUGGCUCUAAAUCGGGGCAUGUGCACACCCUAUUCAUCCGUUUCUAUACACCUGUGCACCUUUUGUAGGUCGGUCGUACGGGGAAGCCGAAAGGCUUUCUUAGGUCUUCCUACGUUUUUAUUAUUUUAAACCCUUGAAUGUCUUUGAAUGUCUUUGCAUUAAUAAUGCAUUUAAUACAACUUUCAGCAACGGAUCUCUUGGCUCUCGCAUCGAUGAAGAACGCAGCGAAAUGCGAUAAGUAAUGUGAAUUGCAGAAUUCAGUGAAUCAUCGAAUCUUUGAACGCACCUUGCGCUCCUUGGUAUUCUGAGGAGCAUGCCUGUUUGAGUGUCAUGGAAUUAUCAAUCCCCCUUUAUUUUAUUGUAAAGGCGGGCUUGGAAUUGGAGGUUUUUUUUGUUGGCCGCAUUAAUGGUGGUCAGCUCCUCUUGAAUACAUUAGCUUAAGCCUUUAACGGGUCGGCUUAUCGGUGUGAUAAAUUUAUGCCGUGGUCGGUUUCGUGAAUAAAUUCAAGCUUCUAAUCGUCCUUGUUGAAGGGACAAAAUACAUUUGACCUCUGACCUCAAAUCAGGUAGGAUUACCCGCUGAACUUAAGCAUAUCAAUAAGCGGAGGAAAAGAAACUAACAAGGAUUCCCCUAGUAACUGCGAGUGAAGCGGGAAAAGCUCAAAUUUAAAAUCUGGCGGUCUUUGGUCGUCCGAGUUGUAGUCUGGAGAAGUGUUUUCCGCGCUGGACCGUGUACAAGUCCCUUGGAACAGGGCGUCAUAGAGGGUGAGAAUCCCGUCUUUGACACGGACUACCAGUGCUUUGUGAUGCGCUCUCAAAGAGUCGAGUUGUUUGGGAAUGCAGCUCAAAAUGGGUGGUAAAUUCCAUCUAAAGCUAAAUACAGGCGAGAGACCGAUAGCGAACAAGUACCGUGAGGGAAAGAUGAAAAGCACUUUGGAAAGAGAGUUAAACAGUACGUGAAAUUGCUGAAAGGGAAACGCUUGAAGUCAGUCGCGUUGUCCGGAAAUCAGCCUUGUAUUUAUUUACUUGGUGUAUUUUCUGGUUGACGGGCCAGCAUCGAUUUUAAUCGUUGGAUAAAGGUGAGGGGAACGUGGCACCUUCGGGUGUGUUAUAGCCCUUUGUUGCAUACAACGAUUGGGAUCGAGGGACUCAGCACGCCUUUAUUGGUCGGGGUUCGCCCACGUUCGUGCUUAGGAUGCUGGCAUAAUGGCUUUAAACGACCCGUCUUGAAACACGGACCAAGGAGUCUAACAUACCUGCGAGUGUUUGGGUGGUAAACCCGAGCGCGUAAUUAAAGUGAAAGUUGAGAUCCCCCUUUCAAGGGAGCAUCGACGCCCGGACUUGACCUUCUGUGAUAGCUCUGCGGUAGAGCAUGUAUGUUGGGACCCGAAAGAUGGUGAACUAUGCCUGAAUAGGGUGAAGCCAGAGGAAACUCUGGUGGAGGCUCGUAGCGAUUCUGACGUGCAAAUCGAUCGUCAAAUUUGGGUAUAGGGGCGAAAGACUAAUCGAACCAUCUAGUAGCUGGUUCCUGCCGAAGUUUCCCUCAGGAUAGCAGAAACUUGUAUCAGAUUUAUGUGGUAAAGCGAAUGAUUAGAGGCCUUGGGGUUGAAACAACCUUAACCUAUUCUCAAACUUUAAAUAUGUAAGAACGAGCCGUCACUUAAUUGGACCGCUCGGCGAUUGAGAGUUUCUAGUGGGCCAUUUUUGGUAAGCAGAACUGGCGAUGCGGGAUGAACCGAACGUGAGGUUAAGGUGCCGGAAUACACGCUCAUCAGACACCACAAAAGGUGUUAGUUCAUCUAGACCGCAGGACCGUGGCCAUGGAAGUCGGAAUCCGCUAAGGAAUGUGUA
rnacentral:rRNA from 1 species